UACGGAGGGUCCAAGCGUUAUCCGGAAUCAUUGGGUUUAAAGGGUCCGUAGGCGGUUUUGUAAGUCAGUGGUGAAAGCCCAUCGCUCAACGGUGGAACGGCCAUUGAUACUGCAAGACUUGAAUUAUUAGGAAGUAACUAGAAUAUGUAAUGUAGCGGUGAAAUGCUUAGAGAUUACAUGGAAUACCAAUUGCGAAGGCAGGUUACUACUAAUGGAUUGACGCUGAUGGACGAAAGCGUGGGGAGCGAACAGG
rnacentral:rRNA from 1 species